UCACUGAGUGCAAAGCGCUAGAUCACUGAGUGCAAAGCGCUAGAUCACUGAGUGCAGAGCGCUAGAUCACUGAGUGCAGAGCGCUAGAUCACUGAGUGCAGAGCGCUAGAUCACUGAGUGCAAAGCGCUAGAUCACUGAGUGCAAAGCGCUAGGACACCAUAUAGAGAAUAAUGUGCCAUUUGGGACAGCACCUCUGAGGAAGGUCGGAAGGUGUGCUACACCUCUAGUCUACCAGACUGUUGAGAUUUAUGGGCUUUGUUUCAGAUGGCACCCUAUUCCCCUUUAUAGUGCACUACUUUUGGCCAGGACCCACAGGGAGCAGAAGACCUUUCCCUUGAGAGUGCGUGUAGUGUCCCAAAUGACAUCUUGGACCCUAUAUAGUGUAAUACUUUUGAUCACGGCUCAUAUGGAUCUGGUCAAAAGUAGCGCACUAUAUAGGGAAUACGGUGCCAUUUGGGACGGAACCUUCUAACCACGCACCACUUUCUAGCACUUAUAGUCAUUUACAGUUAUGUGUGGUGACUAAUCAUUUAAAUAGUAACUUACAUACAUGUAGUUACUUAUCCUAUGGUAACUAAUCAUUUAAAUAGUAACUUAUACACAUGUGGUUACUUAUACUAUGGUAACUUUUAGCAACAUUUACUACGUACACACGGCCUUCGAAUCAGCCGCCAUGAGUCAAACGCACAAAUACAAAGUCCUGCUGGACCCUUCAUUUCUGAAGCCAUAUGAUCACAGAGAAGAACAUGUGUGAGUAGGACUACUCUUAUCCUAGAUCAACUCCAUUCUAUCUGUAAAGGAGUAGAGUUUCAGCCAAGUGUUCUGGAACCGACCUGAUAAGUGAAGAUUUAAUAUAUAGGUUCCUUCAUUAUUAUGGUUGAAAAAUUCUGGGAACUUCUCAGUUUAUCCAGGAAUGUUCCUGUAAUCAGUAGGGGGGAAAGCAGAGCAUCCUGAAUCCCCAACAAUGACCUGUUGGAAAGACUUGGCAUUUUGGGGGGGAAGUUAGGGGACUAACCAACUGCCACCCAGAACGGCACCCUAUAGAACCUAUUAGGUAGAAACUACCACCCAGAACGGCACCCUAUAGAACCUAUAGGUAGAAACUGCCACCCAGAACGGCACCCUAUACAACCUAUAGGUAGAAACUGCCACCCAGAACGGCACCCUAUAGAACCUAUAGGUAGAAACUGCCACCCAGAACGGCACCCUAUAGAACCUAUAGGUAGAAACUGCCACCCAGAACGGCACCCUAUAGAACCUAUAGG